rnacentral:lncRNA from 1 species
UUUUGCUGUGACCUCACUGGCACCAGUGUCGGACAAUCUCGAAAGGGGGGACCGUUCCUCACCCCAGGGCGCCCGGGGCGUGAUCCCCACGCGGCGUCAUUAGUCCAGGGAGCGGGCGCCUCGGCCCCGGGAAGGUGCACUUCCAGCCCGCUGCCCUGCCACGCCGAGUUUCCUCCUUUUUCCUGCCUUUGUUGCACAAAAAGCGACGGAGCCGCUAGUAGAAUCACUGCGGUAGGAGGAUUCCUGAGGCAUUACCUGGAUAGUCUCAUCUGGCUGGACAUGCAGGAGAACUGGGAGACUGCCGAGACUGCCACGUGGGUUUUGGAGGCUGAGAAGUCCAAGACUGAGGGGCUGGCAUCUGACGAGGGCCUUCUUGCUGCUUCAUUCCACGGCAAAAUGGCAAAGAGAAGAUGAGAAGAAAGGCUCAAAGGGACGGUGGGACUUGACUGAGGACCCAGCACCUCCUGGACCUGAAUCAAGGCCCUCUGUCCCGCUGCUUUUGUUGUUGUUUACCCUGCAACUUCACAGCCCUUCAGAAGGCCCUGGACAUCAUGUGCAAGCUCCGUGGAUGGCCUGAGAUUCAUCCUUCCAAGUUGUUUUCUGACUGAGAGGCAACAUUUUAAAUUGUGAUCCCCCCUUACCCCACCACACACACUGAAACAAAAGUUUCAAGAAGUCAUUACCACACAAUGACUCAGAUAUGUUCUAGUCUAGUCUGUCUAUUCCAUUCCAUUCCAGUCUCUUUCCAAACGAAAAUAAAAGGAAGGAAAUGCUGCAUGCGACUUGGUAAGUUAAUUUCAGGACACCUUGGGACUGCUUCCUGCUGCAUGAGGCAUCAGCACACAGCAGGGGAUAUUUUGCAUUCCUGUGUGCACCGUGGGUUAGACAGGCUGCUUGGCCCUAAGUGGAGAAUGGAACUCCAGUAGAAAGGCUGAGAUGCACUGCAAGUAACCACUGCAGAAAGGAGAGGAUGCCCACAGGCAGGCUGAAGUGGACCCGUGUGGAAGGAACACUUCAAGACCACUGGCCAAGAGACUUCCUUCAUUUUUAUCCCUUCCUGUUUUUCGCCUGUGCUGAGGAUUCACCACCAGUGUGGGGAGCCUCUGACUGUAAAAGGAAAGCUGACUCUGGCUCCUUCGUGUUUUCUGUUAAGUUGGGGCCUAAGUUUUUCUGCCAGCCUUUGCGGAGGAAAUGCAGCUUCCCUGGCACACUGCCCGGUCAAGGGACGUUGAAUCCAUUGCAAUCAGCAGUUGAAGAUCCACACUACAGGCCAUGUUCUUAAAAUAAGUGGCUCCAGGACUUCCAAGAGGCAGAAGGGGCUUCAGCUGGCCAUGGGCAGGAUCCAAGUGGAGCUUCAUCCCUGCAGAGCAAUGCCUGGCUCUCAGCGGAGGCAGUCUGGAGCAGGGCUUCUACCCUUUUCAGCUCAUAGAUUACUUUGGAAUCUGAUGAACACUGGGAGCCUUCUCCUUAGAAGAACAUACAUAUGCACGAGAAUGAGACAAUUACAUAACAUUCCUUGGGUUUCACAGAUGCUGAAGCCAAUGACUUGCUUGAAGCCUGGAAGAGGGUGUUGACCUGGAGAAUCCUAAAGGCCAAAAUUUAGAGAAAAUGGUGCCAGUAAAUGAAUUCACAAGGAGAAAUGCUUCCUUGCCAACUCACUUCUCCAGAUUAUUGAGUGCAUCUAUCUGUUUGCUUUUGGCUUCACGCAAUUGGCCCUCUUCAGUUCCGUACUCUUUCCUAAAUACCUUGCAAGUUUUCCUCUUCUCUCAUGCCAUUUAUAAUAUGCUGACGCCUGAUUAGAGGAAGGAAGGACUCAGCUGCACUUGCACUGGGGGAAGGGCCACUUACAGGAAGCCUACCUGGGGCUGAGCUGGGUCUCACUGCCUCCUAGACCUAAGGGCCCCAGCUUUUCCCUCAUCUCUUGUUGCAGCCACCACUUGUUCUAGAUCUGCAUCCAUAUCUGUAAAAUGGGGGUGAUAAUACCUUCCCAUAAAGUCACUGUGAGGAUUAAAUGUCCGGCACAAUAUUUGAUGCAUAGUGGUGCUGAAUAAUAUUUAUUGUCAUUACUAUCAUUAUUAUUGGCUGCUACCUUCAUUUUGAAAUUCUAUCCAUGAGCUACAUUAAUUAACCUGCAUUCAGUGUCAGGAUGUAUUUCUUAAUUUAGAUUUUUAAAUUUUUAGAGCAUGUGGCUAACCAUGAAUGUUGCAUUUUCUCAGUACCUAUUUAUUCAUAUGAAACUAUAGGUCUGGGCUCAGAGUUCAUCAAUAUUUAUAGAGAAGGCUCUACCUGUUGAGCACUGUGCUAGGCAUCCCCAGAGAUGCUGGCCUACUUCAUGCCUUAGGCAGCCCCACACGUGAGCAUUACUAACCCAUUGCUGCUAUGAGAGCAUUCAGAAAGAAAGCAGUUUAAGUUGCUUGACUAAACUGGUAGAGUUGAAAUUAAACUCUGUCUCUUCAUGUUACUGGACUGCUUGGAUAUCUACUUUCAGAAAGACUACAGCUUGAUAUAAACAUUGUAGUUUUGCUCAUGGAAAACUUACAGUAAAUCUGGGCUGUUUCAACACAACUGUCAAACUGUUCACCUACAGCUGUAUUUUCUCUUGCAAUGGGUGAAUAAGGUACAAUGAUGGUUGUACAGACCAUUACUAUUAUUACCUGUUAAUUUACAUUUAAACAGAUUUAUAAUUUCUGGCCCUGAUUUCCAGUCCAGUAUACAGCAAAAAUCCAUAUUUUAAACUAAAAAUAAUGUGCUUUUCAUAAAAUCAUAAAGAAACCCACCUGGCUAUUGUCUGGGGACUUGCGAGAAGGAUCCUUUGUAGUUUUCUUCCAUGUCUUCUAAGGAAUAGUUUGGAACACAUAGUAAAUAGUCAAUUAAUACCAAAGGGCAUUUGCAAAACUAUCAACUCCCAGUUUAUAUAAAGGACCAGCCACCAGAAUUAUACAUGAAUUAAAAAGUUAGCACACCAUAGUCAGAGAAGGACAACUUGGGAAUAGUUGUGUAACAGCCGUGAGGGUAAGCGAAGGGUCUGUCUACCUGUGCCUUCCCAGAAUACUGCCUCUCUUCUGGUCUGCUUUGGGAACAGUCAACAGGAAAGAAAAAGUAGACAGAUAGAGUCAGUGCGCUGAAUAAAAGAAGAUUCUAGAUCACUACAAGAGGCUUGUCAUUUGAGGCAAAGUGUCUGAGAGAGGAAGGUUUUUAUGGCCUCAAUGGGGAGACUGGUCACUGAUAAAGCGUUCUGGAUCUUUUGUGGGCCGGAAGAUAAGUUGAGUUUUGGUUAAUGUUUAAUGAUGCAGAACAAAAGUCAUAAAUAGUCCAUGAGAAAUAAGAGCACAAAUGAUUGGGAUUGGACAGUUUGCUUAUUCAGCUGCAAAAUGUGCUGUGUUCUAUUCUUGUCAUCCCCCCAUGGUAUAACAAAAUGCAGUGUGACAAGGAAUAUAAAUGUCCCCUAAUGCAUGGGCAGCUUUUUCUGUUCUAAGAGAGUCAGCAUGAGUCACUCAGCAGGUGAAAAAUGUUUAAUUUAGAGAAAAUAGGAUAAAUAGCAAUAGCUUCC